AGUGAACGCUGGCGGUAGGCCUAACACAUGCAAGUCGAACGGCAGCACAGUAAGAGCUUGCUCUUACGGGUGGCGAGUGGCGGACGGGUGAGGAAUACAUCGGAAUCUACUUUUUCGUGGGGGAUAACGUAGGGAAACUUACGCUAAUACCGCAUACGACCUACGGGUGAAAGCAGGGGAUCUUCGGACCUUGCGCGAUUGAAUGAGCCGAUGUCGGAUUAGCUAGUUGGCGGGGUAAAGGCCCACCAAGGCGACGAUCCGUAGCUGGUCUGAGAGGAUGAUCAGCAACACUGGAACUGAGACACGGUCCAGACUCCUACGGGAGGCAGCAGUGGGGAAUAUUGGACAAUGGGCGCAAGCAUGAUCCAGCCAUACCGCGUGGGUGAAGAAGGCCUUCGGGUUGUAAAGCCCUUUUGUUGGGAAAGAAAAGCAGCAGGUUAAUACCCCGCUGUUCUGACGGUACCCAAAGAAUAAGCACCGGCUAACUUCGUG
rnacentral:rRNA from 1 species